CUUGACCUCCCAGGGAGGAGUGGAUGACCUGGGACGAUUUAGCUUGCAGAUGAGGGGAGGGCAAGCGUGGUGGUCCUCAAGGGCUGUCGAUGAAUACAGGCAUAAACAUGGUUCUGACUUUGAGGGUACAACCUGGCGACAAGAGAUGGACUUUUGAAUGGAGAGAACUUCUGACCCAUCAUCAAGAAGACUGGUUGCCCCGCCACGGCUGGCUGACCCUUCUUGUCUGGGGUUCUGUCGGGCACUUCUCAAUGAAGGUAGAGAGUCAUUCGAGAUGAGACAUACAUGGCCCCGCCCCGAUCUAAUAGUCCCAGACUCUAGUAUUUCUGUUGGCUUUGAGAUUUGACUAUGGAUAAGCGUGCUAUUCUAAAGUUGCAAAAUUUGAAGCUUGCCAAGAACUCUACAAAUCCUAAUGAAGUGCCCGGUGGCCUCACAUUGCUGUAUGAAGCCCCCCUCCUCCAUGGAUUAUGAAACACGGGGGUGGUGGUUCCAGCUCCUGGCAGGGUCAUAGAAAGGCGCUUUGAGAGCUGCCAUUGCUCAAGAACCCAAAGAUGGACCUUCAAACCCUCUUUUGAUAUUGCCGGUGGCUGCCCUUGAAACUUCAGAAGGGACGUCCACACCUGGCCCCGUGUUUGCACAUAAUCCAGUGGCAUCUGGACUUUUUUUUCAAUGGCCUGGAAGUCUGUGAAGUCAUUCCGAAGAGUGGCUUUCUUAUAUGCCUCGGCCAAAACAAGCACGGAGAAUCCUGGUCAUGAGGCACUUAAAAAUUUAUUAGGCUCUGGUAUUAAAUUAUAGCGUGACCUGUUAAACACGGAUUCAAAUGGGCCAUGGUUCAAAUCAAGCUCUCGCUCCCACUAGGGCUCUUCGACCAGCCAUGCAACAGACUGGUAGUGACCCCUCUGUCUCCAGAGGCAUCAAACUGUGUCUAUGUGACCACUUACGUGGGCAAUACUCACAGAGGGGGUUCUCGAACCCCACAGCAGAAAGGCGGUAAACUUGAAUGCAUUCAAGGCCUUGGAGGGCAGUGGAAGGGAAGAAAUGUGGCCAGCCACGGACGGGCGUGUGUGAUAACGGCUGGGCAGAAUGCCAGUGUGUUGGCCACUUUUGCAAGUAGAGAGUUAUUCUCUGCUAAAGACCGGUGACCGGAGUCUGCACAGCUGACCACAGGCCGAGAAAGAAUCCUUGUUCUGAGAAGCAUCUGUAGGCGUGAGGUCGGAGCCUGCAGGUGCCUUCAAGUUGAUCCCACUGUGGAGACAGGAGCGCUGGCCUGAGAGCGAGGAGGCCCAGGUCUGGGUCCCCGCCCUGCUGCUACUUCACUGUGUGACCUUGGGAAAGUCUUGGGCCUUCUCUGGCCUCAGUUUCCCCUUCUGGAAUUGGCCCAGAGCAUCUCAGGUCCCCGAUAAUUCAAAUGGUCUCAGGUUCCUGGGAGGAACCCAAAAGGAGAAUCUUCAAGAGUAGGUCUUGUGUUGGGGCGCCUGGGUGGCACAGCGGUUGAGCGCCUGCCUUCGGCUCAGGGCGUGAUCCCGGCGUUAUGGGAUCGAGCCCCACGUCAGGCUCUUCAGCUAUGAGCCUGCUUCUUCCUCUCCCGCUCCCCCUGCUUGUGUUCCCUCUCUCGCUGGCUGUCUCUAUCUCUGUCGAAUAAAUAAAUAAAAUCUUUAAAAAAAAAAAAAAAA
rnacentral:lncRNA from 1 species